UCCUGGUCACCAGGUCCUCUCCGUCCAGGGCUGAGAGGUCAGCCAGGUGACACCUGUCACCUCAGCAUGACCCAAGGACCCUGCUCGACAUUCCAGAGUCACUGAGCCUGGGGUGCCAGGGAACGGGCACAGGCAACCUUCAGCACUCUGUGAGAGGGCUCCUUCAUCCAGGUUCCUUCUGCCACCCUGAGGCCAGUGAGCCCAGAAUCCCAAGAGGCUGGCGCCCUGGGGGGCUCCCGGACAGAGCUCUCGCUGGACCGGGUCCUCCAGGAGCGUGAUGAUGCCAUUGCCAAGAAGCAGGCCGUGGAGGCGGAGCUGGAGGUGUGCCGAGCCACGCUGCGCACUGUGGAGGCCCAACUGCUGGAGGCCCUGGAGGAGAAACUGAGGCUGAAGCAGGAGGUGGACGCCUGGGAGGAGGACAUGCGGGAGCUCGUGCAACAGCAGGUUCGGCGUCAGCUGCAGAGAGAGCCUGCGGGCGCUCUGCGUGCCUCGGGAGCUGCCAGGGUCCCCAGGGCCCAGCCCCUCCUGGGCUGGUGGAAACAUCGGUGAGCACACUGCCUAACUCUGGGUCUCAGGAGCAGCAUCUUUAUUCAUUAAAGCUUGAGGUCUGGCCCCUCUGUGCCCUGAAA